AGGGAGAAUUUCUGUUUGGAAGAAAAAUGCCAGAAGACAGAAAUCAAGGUGAGAGACCUAGAAGACGCCCUGAGUCACAGUCAGGAGGAACUUGACAUCAAGAAUACACAUUGUGACCAGCUGGAGGAGAAUUUAUCCGCAUGCAAGCUGGAAUGUGAAUUGGACCUGAAGGGAGAUCUGGCGACUGGUGCACAAAGAUGUGGAGAAGGAAUGUUCUGAUGACCAGAAAGAGGUGUCCUUAUCUGAAAGUCAAUCUCACAUUCGUAACGAGAUUUUACAGGAGAUACAGAAUCUGAAGGCACAGCUCGAGAAGCGAGAGGCAGUUCUGGAUAUCUUAACAAGCCGUAAAUCUAAGCCUGACCAUCUGUCUCUUGAGCACAGUACAUGUAGCUGUUUCGGAACCUUAUCUGGUAGUAAUUCCAGCUCUCCGCUUGUGGAGGCCCUUGCCAUUGACUAUUUCAAUGGUAACCAGCCCCUACAUCGUGUCAAGAAAAGGCCAUACAUAGCCAGCUCUGAGAUGGACCUGUCGGGGUACAGUAAAUGUCAAGACCAUGUGUGUAAUGGUUGGGGAUGCUCCAAUCGCAGUCCUCCACAGGGUCAAACAUCAACAGAGAGUAACAACAACUAUUCACAGACAAACCUCUGUAAGUCUG